rnacentral:rRNA from 1 species
UACGAGGGGGGCAAGCGUUGUUCGGAAUUAUUGGGCGUAAAGAGCGUGUAGGCGGCUAAAUAGGUCCGUUGUGAAAACUCGAGGCUCAACCUCGAGAUGCCGAUGGAAACCAUUUGGCUAGAGUCCGGAAGAGGAGAGUGGAAUUCCCGGUGUAGCGGUGAAAUGCGCAGAUAUCGGGAAGAACACCCGUGGCUAAGGCGGCUCUCUAGUACGGUACUGACGCUGAGACGCGAAAGCGUGGGGAGCGAACAGG